GCCUCUAUGGCGCAGUGGUAACGCGUCGCACUUGUAAUGCGAAGAUCCCUAGUUCAAUUCUGGGUGGAGGCA
rnacentral:tRNA from 1 species